GUCCACGCCCUAAACUAUGGAUACUACUUAGAAGGACCUGCAAGGGUCUUUUUAACGGAGCAAAAGCGUUAAGUAUCCCGCCUGGGGAGUAUGGUCGCAAGGCUGAAACUCAAAGGAAUUGACGGGGGCUCACACAAGCGGUGGAGCAUGUUGCUUAAUUCGAUGCAACGCGAAGAACCUUACCCGGGCUCGAAAUGUACGGAUUAGCUCUAUGAAAGUAGAGUAACACCCUCGCGGGUGGAACGUAUAUAGGUGUUGCAUGGCUGUCGU
rnacentral:rRNA from 1 species